UGUAGAAACAACUAUGUUCUCAGGUAGAACACGUAUAAACACAAAUUUAAGAUUUAGCAUUUAUGCCAAACAGAAAAAUGCAUAUCCGAACCAAAUCAUCACUGUUCAACAAAUUUUUGACAGUUUAUCAUUUUCUGGCUUGGUCAUUAAAUUCUUAUAUGCCUUGAAAAUUAUAACCUUUCUGUGAUCAGCGGCAACACAAAACAUUAUCAAAUAAUUGAGGGAUCACAAAACUGAAAUUUUCCAAAUUA